rnacentral:rRNA from 1 species
UAGUGGCGAACGGGUGAGUAACACGUGGGCAAUCUGCCCUUCACUCUGGGACAAGCCCUGGAAACGGGGUCUAAUACCGGAUAACACCUGCCCGGGCAUCUGGGUGGGUUAAAAGCUCCGGCGGUGAAGGAUGAGCCCGCGGCCUAUCAGCUUGUUGGUGAGGUAGUGGCUCACCAAGGCGACGACGGGUAGCCGGCCUGAGAGGGCGACCGGCCACACUGGGACUGAGACACGGCCCAGACUCCUACGGGAGGCAGCAGUGGGGAAUAUUGCACAAUGGGCGAAAGCCUGAUGCAGCGACGCCGCGUGAGGGAUGACGGCCUUCGGGUUGUAAACCUCUUUCAGCAGGGAAGAAGCGAAAGUGACGGUACCUGCAGAAGAAGCGCCGGCUAACUACGUGCCAGCAGCCGCGGUAAUACGUAGGGCGCAAGCGUUGUCCGGAAUUAUUGGGCGUAAAGAGCUCGUAGGCGGCUUGUCACGUCGGGGUGUGAAGCCCGGGGCUUAACCCCGGGUCUGCAUUCGAUACGGGCUAGCUAGAGUGUGGNAGGGGAGAUCGGAAUUCCU